GACGAACGCUGGCGGCGUGCCUAAUACAUGCAAGUAGAACGCUGAAGCUUGGUGCUUGCACCGAGCGGAUGAGUUGCGAACGGGUGAGUAACGCGUAGGUAACCUGCCUGGUAGCGGGGGAUAACUAUUGGAAACGAUAGCUAAUACCGCAUAAGAGUAGAUGUUGCAUGACAUUUGCUUAAAAGGUGCAAUUGCAUCACUACCAGAUGGACCUGCGUUGUAUUAGCUAGUUGGUGAGGUAACGGCUCACCAAGGCAACGAUACAUAGCCGACCUGAGAGGGUGAUGCGCCACAGGGGGACUGAGACCCGGCCCAGACUCCUACGGGGGGGAAGAGGAGGGAAUUUUCGGAAAGGGACGGAAGUCUGACCGGGCAACGCCGCGGGAGGGAAAAAGUUUUUGGGAUCGGAAAACUCUGUUGUAAGAGAAAAACGAGUGUGAGGGUGGAAAGUUCACACGGUGGCGGUAUUUUACCAGAAAGGGACGGCUAACUACGU
rnacentral:rRNA from 1 species